rnacentral:misc_RNA from 1 species
CAGAGUUCUCGCCCUUCCGGGUAGAUCUCCCACCCACUGUUAUCGUUACUGUCGUUGCUUUGGCGGGCCGUCGGGCCCUGCCCGGCCGCCGGCUCCGGCUGGCGCGCGCCCGCCAGAGGCCCCACAAACUCUGAAUGUUAGUGUCGUCUGAGUACUAUAUAAUAGUUA